CCCCGAUUUGGACCAACUUGAAAACUGGGCCAAUAAUAAAAAAUCUAAGUACAUUUUUAGAUUCAGCAUAUCAAAGAACCCCAAGGAUUCAAUUUUUGUUAAAAUCAAACUAAGUUUAAUUUUGGACCCUUUGGACCUUAAUGUAGACCAAUUUGAAAACGGGACCAAAAAUUAAGAAUCUACAUACACAGUUAGAUUCGGCAUAUCAAAGAA
rnacentral:lncRNA from 1 species